UGUGCAAAGGCCCAUGGUGAAGGGUGCCCUUUGCCAUGCUGUGGGGUGGCCUGGACACAGUGGGGUGCCCAUCGCUCCGCCAUGGGGUAACCAGUCCCUAUAGAGAGCCCUUUACCCUGCUGUGGGGUGUCCAGGCUCCAUAGGGUGCCUGUCACACUGCUGUGGGGUGCACCCGUAGGGAGCACCUGAGCCCAUAGGAUGCCCGUGGCACUGCUGGGGGUGCCCAAACACCACAGGGUACCCACACCCUCCUCUGGGGUCUUCAGACCCCAUAGGGUGCCCAUUGCUCCACCCUGGGGUGUGCAGGCCCCACUGGGCACCUAGGCCCUACAGAGUGUGCCCCACACUGCUGGGGGGUGCCCAGGCUGUGUAGGGCGUCCAUCCUAUGGGGUUAAGGAGCAUUAGACUUCAUGGGGUACUUUCACCCUGCUAGGGGUGCCCAGACCCCAAUAGACGCCCAGACCCCACAGGGUGCCCCUCGCCCUCACCACGGGGUGCCCAGACUCCAGAGGGUACCCAUAGGCCUGUUGUAGGGUGCCUGGCCCCAGGAGGGUGCCCUUUGCCCUGGGCAAGGGGUAUCAGACCCCAUGGGAUGCCUACACCCUAUGGGGUGUUCCCCACAGCACUGGGGGUGCCCAGACCCCUCAAGGUACCUCUGAUAUGGGCAACCAUGAUCAUGUCCCAUGCUUCUGCCCCCCCAUGAGGAUGUUUUGGGGACACACACACGUGUAGGGUGCCACCCCCACGCACUGGGGCCGUGCACCCACUCUUCUCUCCCCCCCAGCUCAUCUUCACGCCCACGGGCCCCGUGAGCGCCGUCCGGCCCGAGAGCCCCGCGCCUGCCCCACCACCGGCCCCGCCGCCCGCCCCACCACCCGCCGCCCCCCAGCCUACGCCCCACUGCAGCCGCCCCAGUUCCUGCAGCAGCCGCCGAAGCCGAUCCAGCAGCAGUUUGUCAUCCAGCAGCAGCAGCUAGCGCCCCGCGGGCAGCCCCCCCCCGGGGCCGGCCGCCCCCCAGCUCCAGCCGCUGCCCCCCGCCAGCCCCGGCCCGGUGCCCCCACCCAAAGCGGGGGCCAGCCCGGGGGUCCCCCACGGUGCCGGGGCUGAUGGCGCUGCCCCCAACGGGCACCCCGGCUGCCACGGGGCCCCUCGCAAGUUCCAGCACGCCUCCGCCGUCAUCCUGCAGCUGCAGCCCGCCGGUGCCACGGUGAGGGCCCCCCACCCCCCGGUCCCCCGGUGCCCCCUGCCCGGCUGGCGAGA
rnacentral:lncRNA from 1 species